rnacentral:rRNA from 1 species
CCUACGGGGGGCAGCAGUGGGGGAUAUUGCACAAUGGGGGAAACCCUGAUGCAGCGACGCCGCGUGUGGGAAGACGGUCCUCUGGAUUGUAAACCACUGUCAUGUGGGAGCAAAUUAAAAAGAUAGUACCACAAGAGGAAGAGACGGCUAACUCUGUGCCAGCAGCCGCGGUAAUACAGAGGUCUCAAGCGUUGGUCGGAAUCACUGGGAGUAAAGCGUGCGUAGGCUGUUUCGUAAGUCGUGUGUGAAAGGCGCGGGCUCAACCCGCGGACGGCACAUGAUACUGCGAGACUAGAGUAAUGGAGGGGGAACCGGAAUUCUCGGUGUAGCAGUGAAAUGCGUAGAUAUCGAGAGGAACACUCGUGGCGAAGGCGGGUUCCUGGACAUUAACUGACGCUGAGGCACGAAGGCCAGGGGAGCGAAAGGGAUUAGAUACCCCAGUAGUC